rnacentral:rRNA from 1 species
GAGAGCAAUUGCCCGGAGAUGGAUUAUGAGACACGAAUCCAGGCCCUACGGGGCGCAGCAGGCGCGAAAACUUGACAAUGCGAGAAAUCGUGAUCAGGGGACUCCAGUUGGCUGGAUCAAAAGUCCAGUCUGAACCGACUUUAAAUCGGUCGGGUAAUAGGGGCGGGAAAGACCGGUGCCAGCCGCCGCGGUAAUACCGGCGCCCCAAGUGGUCGUCACUAUUAUUGGGCCUAAAACGUCCGUAGCCGGUUUGGUAAAUCCGUGGGUAAAUCAGACAGCCCAACUGUCUGAAUUCUGCGGGGACUGCCAGACUUGAGACCGGGAGAGGUGCGGGGUACUUGCGGGGUACCGGUAAAAUGGGAUCAUCCCGUAGAGACCACCUGUUGCGAAGGCGCCGCACUAGAACGGAUCUGACGGUCAGGGACGAAGCCUAGGGGCACGAACCGGAUUAGAUACCCGGGUAGUCCUAGGUGUAAACGCUGUGGACUUGGUGUCGGGGACCUUCUGAGGGUUUCCGGUGCCGGAGUGAAGAUGUUAAGUCCACUGCCUGGGGAGUACGGUCGCAAGGCUGAAACUUAAAGGAAUUGGCGGGGGAGCACCGCAACGAGAGGAGCGUGCGGUUUAAU